UGGAGAACGAGAGGGUUAUGAUGGAGAGGAGGUGGAUGGAAAGGGAAGAGCAGAGGAGGGUUAGAGAGGAAGCUCGUGCUGAGAAGAGGGAUGCCCUCAUCACUGCUUUGCUCAACAAGCUCGACAGAGACGACGGCGGCGGCGGCACUUAGUUGUUUUGUAGAGGUAAAUUUGUAUCAUCAGAAUUAAGUAGUAGCUCUUUCAAUUUAUCUUAUGCUGUAGGUGGGAUUUUUUAGAGCGAGAGAGGGAGUAUUAGCAUAUGGUAAUUAGGAACAUGAUGAUCGACCAAUGUUGAUUUUAUUUUUGAAUCUAUUGGGUUUAGGGGUAAAUGAUCUAAUGAAAACAUAUGGACAAUUUUUUCAUCUCUAUGGUCUUGACUCUAGAGUUGAUAUAUAACGUUUGAUUGUUGGACCGGUUUUAAAGAAUAUGAUGUAUAAUUUGAACAUGCUUUAUUGUGUAUAUAUUAGGCUAGAAAGGAGCGUAAUUACAUACUUUGUAGAAUCUUAGUUUUUGUAUGAUAUUGUUUAUGAAGAACAUAAUCGGUAUAUAUAUA
rnacentral:lncRNA from 1 species